GACAGAGGGUGCAAACGUUGCUCGGAAUUACUGGGCGUAAAGCGCGUGUAGGUGGUCACGCAAGUCAGGUGUGAAAGCCCAGGGCUCAACCCUGGAAGUGCACAUGAUACUACGUGGCUGGAGUACUGAAGAGGAGAGCGGAAUUCCCGGUGUAGAGGUGAAAUUCGUAGAUAUCGGGAGGAACACCAGUGGCGAAGGCGGCUCUCUGGGCAGAUACUGACACUGAGACGCGAAAGCGUGGGUAGCAAACAGG
rnacentral:rRNA from 1 species